AGUUUGAUCAUGGCUCAGGACGAACGCUGGCGGCGUGCCUAACACAUGCAAGUCGAACGGAGAAUUUCAAUAAGCUUGCUUAGCGAAAUUUUUAGUGGCGGACGGGUGAGUAACGCGUGGGUAACCUACCCAUAAAGCCGGGACAACCCUUGGAAACGAGGGCUAAUACCGAAUAAUCUUAAGUCUUGGCAUCAAGGUUUAAGGAAAGGUGGCCUCUGAAGAUGCUACCGAUUAUGGAUGGACCCGCGUCUGAUUAGCUAGUUGGUGGGGUAAAGGCCUACCAAGGCGACGAUCAGUAGCCGGCCUGAGAGGGUGAACGGCCACACUGGGACUGAGACACGGCCCAGACUCCUACGGGAGGCAGCAGUGGGGAAUCUUCCGCAAUGGACGAAAGUCUGACGGAGCAACGCCGCGUGUAUGAUGAAGGUCUUCGGAUUGUAAAGUACUGUCUUUGGGGAAGAAUGACUGGUUUGAAAAUAUUGAGCCAGUAUGACGGUACCCAAGGAGGAAGCCCCGGCUAACUACGUGCCAGCAGCCGCGGUAAUACGUAGGGGGCAAGCGUUGUCCGGAAUUAUUGGGCGUAAAGGGCGCGUAGGCGGAUGUUUAAGUCCGGUGUGAAAGAUCAGGGCUCAACCCUGAGAGUGCAUCGGAAACUGGGCAUCUUGAGGACAGGAGAGGAAAGUGGAAUUCCACGUGUAGCGGUGAAAUGCGUAGAUAUGUGGAGGGACACCAGUGGCGAAGGCGACUUUCUGGACUGUAACUGACGCUGAAGCGCGAAAGCGUGGGGAGCAACA
rnacentral:rRNA from 1 species